UGGGCGGGUUCUGGGCGGAGCUCCGCCGGGAGGGCGGCCGCAUUCCUGGGCGCGCUGGGGCUGGAAUUGGUACAUUCCUUUCAUAACUCCCGCGUGGGGGCGGGGGCCUGAGCGGAGAGUUGGUGAUUAAAGGGAGGAAGAAUGAAGCUCUGCGGGGCUGGGUGCAGGCCCAGAGCUGGAGGCCAGGAGCAUGUGAGCGGCGUCCCAGGAGCCCAGGGAUGCAGGCGGAAGCUCAGAAAUGGUGCGCUGGGCCCAGGGGGCAGCCAGGGCCAGAGGCGGCCUAGGGGCCUUUAGGCAGCCUAAGUGCAUAGAGUCUUGCGCCUGCAGGUAUUCCAAGAGCUAGGUUUUGCUGUCACCCUGAGAAAGAAAAUAUCGCCUGCCGUGUCAAUAAGCAAAGGAGGUUACAGCGAUCAGUGGUUCCAGCUGCGAGAGCCGGUGAGCCCCAAGGGAACCCAGGGAGGAAACAAAGAACACCUGCCAUCUAGCGGCCGUCGGACUGCAGCUGUUCUGGACGGGUGUCACACACAUAAUCACAGAAGAGUGUGGGACUUGAGACGGUGCUAGGAAGAAACGCUCCUGAUGGCGGGUGGUCCCUGGGUGUGGCACAGUCCUUAAACUGGAACAGAUCUCCCUCAGGAGAAGGCGGCACCCUGCCAAGACCACCAGCACCAGGAGCCGAGGGUGGAAGCAGGUGCGCUGGGAUCCUGGGGGCAAGAUGGUUUCUGAACUGGGAUUGCAUCUAGUUUUGGAAGAUCUGAUGGCGCAUGUACCCUGACUGUGUGACACCCCAUAGCCAAACACAUCGACAUUCCUAUUGAUAUUACAGCAGAAAGUCAGACCAUAAUGGCCCUGGCCAGUUCCCACCCCGUCUGGCCACCACGUGAGUCCAGGUCAGCUCAAGUUUUGCUGGCAAGUGGUUAGGGGCAGAACAUCCAUUUUCAGAGCCCUUUGGACAUUGGGGGUGAGGUGCUGUGGCGUGUCCCGAUGGAGCCCGGGAAGGACUGAAGCUGAGGGGUAAAGAACACGAUGCUCUGUGCCGAAAACCUUUCACGUUCAUUUAAGGGAUCCUGCGCUAGCAAACAGAGAUGUAGUUUUUACAUAGAUGAUAA